AAAUGAUUAUUUCGAUGAGUUACAAACGGAAUGACGAACUUAAUGUACCCUCCAUACUUUUCUUGGUGGAGGGUAUAAUACGUUAAAAAGCAGUAAGUACGGCCCGGCCGAUCUUUGAAUACCCUCCACCAUUUGGAACGAAUUUGUAAAUUUUCAAAAAAGGAUAAUUUGUUAAAAAUUCUGUUAAAAUCUUAAAAAUACAGAAUAUAGCCGUUAUAUUGGGGUCUAUAAGAAUAUAGCCGUUAUUCUGGGGUCUACAUAGGUAUUGUUUGUCAUAAGCCAUUGCCAUAUUCAAAUUUGCAACUUGAAAUAAACGGUGAAUAAUGUAGCUAAAAUCAUCAAAAUACCGUAUAUGGGGAGGUACCGUUAUAUGGGGGCUAUACGAAGACCUGGACCUGCACAGACAAUUUUCUCUCUUUUGCUGUAGUAUCCAUUUUGAACUUCAAAUACCAAACUUGAAACAAUUCCGGAGAAUAAUGUCGCUAAAAUCAUAACAAGUAAAAACCAGUAAAGAAAGUCUUAAAGUCGGGCGGGGCCGACAUUAUGAUACCCUACACCACUUUGCUAAUUUAGUAGAGCUCCGCAUAACAAUUAAAAAUUUUUAUGGGAGCAUUCAAUCAUACACCCUGUGAUUAUAAUUAUAAUUUAAAGUUCAAAAGACUAAAUAUAUCGAAGUAUUUGAAUCUUUUAAAUUCGGACUUAUGUUGCCCAUUUGGUGCACAAAUAAUUUAAAAUCGGAUAAAAAUAUAUAUAGGAGCUAUAUCCAAAUCUGAACCGAUCUCGAUAAAACAUGGCAAAGAUAUUUCAGAGCUGUAUUUAAUAUAUUUCCCUGAAUAUCGUUGUUACGGAGUGCAUAUUACGGUUGUGGGUAACAAAUAUAACAAAUCGGAUGAACAAUAUAUAUGGAAGCUAUAGCUAUAUCUGAACCGAUCUUCACCAAAUUUGACAUACUAGCUUCUAGACUCAAUUCAGUCGUAAAUGCCAAAUUCUAAAAUCUAAAUUUUAACCGAUUAUCUCCAAUUUCAAAAUGGUCCGUCCUUGGGCAAAGCAAAUGAUUUGUGCAAAAUUUCAUGUGGAUCGGAUAAUAAAUGCGAAUUGGAUCGGGUAAUAAAUGCGAACUGUACUUUGUUCACAAAAAUACAUGGACAGACGGACGGAACAUAAAUCGACUCAGAAUGUGAUUCUAUGCAGAUCAUCAAAAGGAACUAUGGGUCUAUCUCGUUUCCUUUUGCCUGUUACAAACAAAUACACAAAGACAUAAUACCCUGACCACAGAAGAAUAGCAACCCACACAUAGAACAUGUUCAUGCUGGUACAAGUGACUUGAAAAUGAAAUUCAAAUUUGGAGAAAAAUAAUUAAUCGGCUAUGCGUAUUGGGGAGGAAAUUCCAUUGACAGAAAAUCGUGUACAGAAUUUUAUUAUGGAGGUGGUUUGAUUUCAUGGGAAUCCAAUAAGUAGUGGCACUAAGCAGCACAGAAGCGGAAUACAUAUCAAUAUCAAAUGCUGCUCGAGAAGUUAUAUAUUUAAGAACAUUGUUAAAGGAACUUGAAGGUGCAGAAGACACAGCUGUGGUAAUCCAUGUUUAUAAUCAAGGUGCUUGGAAAUUGGCACACUACCCUGUAUAUAACAUCAUUAUAAAGUAUCACCACAUUAGUGGUACAAUCAAUAGAGGCCAAAUUGAGCUGAUGAAUAUCAAUGAAAUGAUCGCAGAUAUUUGCACAAAGAAAUAAGACAUAAUCAUUAGUUGAUCUACCGACUGAAAAGAAAACUAUUGGAUGCAAAUAUGUGUAUUCAGUAAUACGGAGUGAAUUAUAAGGAAAAUUUUUUCUCCAGUUAUAAGACAUUCAAAUAUAAGACUGUUCCUAAGUAUCGCAGUACAGAACAAAUUGCAUUUGCAUCAGCUCGACGUGGCAAAACGAGUAAAUUCUAAAAAAAUUGACAUAACUGAAAAUGGGCCUGUUGAACAUUUUCUUGGAAUGAAAAUACAUGGAGAAGGAGAAAAUGGAAAUAUAGAUGUGAGUAAUAUACAAUACAUUAAGUAUUUGCUGAAGAAAUAUAAUAUGGAGAAAUACAAGGCAACGUCCGUUCCGCUUGGUCCAGGAUAUCAAGUGGCAUGUACGAAAGAAUAUUCAAGAACAGACAUACUAAUGUAUCAAUCACUAAUAGGAAAGCUUAUGUAUUUAGCCAUUAGAACUCGCUAAGACAUUCUACAUGAUGUUGCAAAGCUUUCACAGAAGAAAAGCAACCCACACAUAGAACAUGUUCAUGCUGAUACAAGUGACUUGAAAAUGAAUUUCAAAUUUAUUAAAUUUAAAAAAUAAAAACAGAAAAUUGUGUA